UGAAUUAUUUAGGAGCUUGUUAUGUGAAUUAAAAAGCAGCACUUUGCAGCAUUAAGUCUAAUAUUUUAUGAUCUUCAAUUGAUUAGGUGGGCUUUCAGGAUUACAUGGAAAGGUUAAGAUAAAACACGCCUCAGACAGGCAGCUUUCGCCAGUCUGCUCUGCUUUUCAAAAACCUACGGGAAAACCCAAAAGGAGCCUGCCUCCCUUUUCCCCUCCAAGUGCAGCUUCGGGAACCGGUUUUCGGACCAUCAGAGAGCUUUCCCGCCCUGAGGAUUCCAGGCACCUGGGUUCUCAGGCCCAAAGGAGGCUGCACCCCCAUUUGUCUACCUUUCUUUUGUCUUUUUUUUGGCACAAAGAUGCCACUGAUGAUGUGGUGCCCAGAGGGACCGCAUUCCAAGCCUGGGCCUGCACAGGGAAAACCCUGAUGCAGACUCCCAGCCACUCAUUUGGACCUAGAUGGGGCCCUGUGCCGUGCCCGCCCGUGGCCAAGGGUGCGUGUAGCACACGCCCCACACAGCAGGAACCUUACAGACCGCCAAGCUCCAGGGGCCUCCCUCUGCCGAACCAGCCAGACGGAGCUACUUAUUAUUCUUUAAAAACACCCUCUGUUGUCUCAACUCGCAAGCUUCGCUCAAGGUGUUCACUUGGUGCAUCGUUCCCCCCCUUCAGCUACUGAAACUCAACCACCCUUGAUAAGGAACAGAGUAAAGAAGUACAGAAUAUAGAGCUUCCUGCGUUCCAAGCACUUUAAAUGUUAUCAUAUAGUCCUCAUAAUAAUCCUGUAAGGCACCUUCUUUCCCUGAAAACAGCAAUAAAAUUUCAUUCGACCUUCUAAAUUUCAUUCUCAAGCCCCAGCAAGGAGCGGGCAGGUAGCUUCGUGAGCGGAUCCAUGGGACACAGGACGUCUUCCUUCGUUUCAGACUCGGCUUCCCCGCGGCCAGAGCCCAGCAGUCAAGCCAGUCAUUUCCAGGCGAAGCAGGACCUACCCUGGGGGCUCACACCCUACAAAUCCCUGAAUCCUCCAUCAUCCCUCCUCCCAGCCUCCUAGUGGGCCGCUCCAAUUUAGGAGGAUUGUAUUGUCUGGAAAUCAACCUGAUCUUAUCUGUAGCCUUUUGUCAAGAGGAAAUUUUUGUUGCCUGUUUUGCUCAGAGGUUGAAACUUGUAGUAUAUUAACUAAUUGCUUGCAUCACUAACACAUGUUCUCUUGUUGGUGUCAUUCAUUUAUACUGUAACAUUUUUGACAUUUUUAGAUUGUCUCUUGGGACUCCUGGGCCUCUUAGCAGUUCCCUCUAUGAAGAGUGUUUGCCUAAUGAUUACUGACUGACAUCUCAAUAACGAGCAGUAGGAGUUGGGUGCAUCUAUUGAAGAGUUCGGGGGGGGGGGGUGUAUGUGUGUGUGUGUUUUAAUUCAUGGUCCACUUUGUCAAGUCAUGUGUGAGCCAUAAUUUAAGCUAAUAAUUACCAGACAUGAAUUCAAU
rnacentral:lncRNA from 1 species